GCGAUUCUCCUACCUCAGUCUCCCGAGUAGCUGGAAUUACAGCAGGUCACUGUGUUUCAGAGGAGGUGGAGAUGCAAACAAUUACAAAUUCAUGUGAUCUUUGCCUCAAUGGAGGCAUCAUUUAGAGGCAUUGCCCCCAAAACACUGUGCCUGAGAGAGAGCAUCCUGCAGUUCAUGUAAUGAAAAGACCUGGCAUGAGACAGUGGAGCAGGACAGCUAUGGACCCCAAACUCAAAGGAAGUACACAGUGGCAUAUGAGUUAAAUUAAUUCAGACAACUUGAGUAGAAACACAGUUUCCUAAGGAAAUAAAGAAUGCAAAAAGUUGAAUGUAGAAUAUUAUGCCAACUUUGUAAUGUAAUAUAUGAGAAAUGUUUAAUAUGUGUAAAAUAUCUAGUGUUUGACGGUUCUUAUUUCUUCCUCUAUUGAUGAUUACUGUCAUGUAUUCUCUUACAUGCAAUCAGUGUGUGGCUUUACCUGACACUAUUAGUCCCUGCUUUCCAUGAUCACCCCUACCCAGCAUCACCCAUGCCCUUGGCAGCAAUUUUAAUUUUGUUCAGUUCCUGGGUCUUAGCCAGGGCCAACAGCUUCCACCCAGCAUCAACCCACAAGUUGCCAGGGUUUGGAAUGGUUUUGUCAUGAUGGACCCUGUGUAUGGUUGUCCUGGGGUGAACCCUGAGCCCCUCUCUGUCACUGCAAACUCACAGUGAUGUCCCACCAGACAUUUGACUUACACUUCAGAUCCUUGGAGAUGGACCCAUCCCUGUAUUCUGGCCUCCUGGUUUUGGACCAUGACAUACUACCUAUUCCUUGUCAACUUUACCUGACUGGGUUGAAGGGUCUCCUCUUCUGCCUUUAUUCUCACACAGCUGGUAAGGUUUGACUAUGCAUGAAGCCAUUGAGCAGAAUCCUGGCUAUUGUAUGGGGCCCUGACCCCCUCUAGCUUGUUGUCUUUAUAUUUCUCAUGUUCUUUUAGUGUCAUACAAAUGAAUAAAUGUGAAUUCCCAAG